CUAAACUUCAACCUGGGUCACACAGCAUCAGCUUGUUGAAAAAGGGAUUGUUUGUGGAGCUGCUACCAGCAGUCAGUCUGAUAGAGGAAGAGGCUGUAACAGGAUCUCUGUUGGACAAACAGCAGACGGUGAAGUGCGUACACACAGCAUGGGGAAAACACAAAGUUGGUGACAUAUCCCGCAAUGAUGCCUCACGUAGGGCAGAUGAGAGGGGCAAUGAAAAAGGAGAGGUGUGACAGGGGCGGCUGGUGGAUGGGUACCUUGAAAGUAGGUGUUUUCAGUGAGGGGAAGACAACUGGCAGUAGGUUUCAGUAACACAUCUUCACACCGUCAUUUCCCGAAAAUGUCCUUAAUACUGUAUAUCUACAGUAAUAGUGGAAUGAUAGUGUUUCACAAUAUUUUUUCCCCCCCAAAAAUGAUUGAGGCCCACACAAAAUUGCAUUCUAAUGGUGGAGCCUUCUAAUUGGUCAACAAGUCGGACCAGCUCUUGUUGUCAAAUUGACUGGGGCCAGCAAAUCUCUUGUUGUCAAUUCAACAACGGACAAAACAAGAUAUUUACUGGCCCCAGUCAAUUUGACAACAAGAGACGGUUUGUUGUUGAAUUGUUACAAGUAGUACCUUUAAGAUAUGACAUAAAACUCUCUAUCCAGUGCAGUUAAAGGUGAUGCUGUCCAAAAAUGCCUUUUCAAUCUCUGUUUCCUGUAUAUGCGGGAAAUCGUGUGCGGGAGUUAUAACAUUUUUUUUCUACAAUAUUUAAACAUUUGUAUAUCUCCUUUUUCUUUCAUCGCCAUUCCCCCAGGAAACGCCCAUGCCUGGAGAGUCGCCCAGAUGUAGAUGCAGAAGGGGGACCUGCUGCUACUGGGAGCCUACGGCUUUUACUUUACAUUUAUUUAACUAGGCAAGUCAGUUAAGAACAAAUUCUUAUUUUCAAUGACAGCCUAGGAACAGUGGGUUAACUGCCUGUUGAGAACAACAGAUUUGUACCUUGUCAGCUCAGUGAUUUGAACUUGCAACCUUUCGGUUACUAGUCCAACACUCUAACCACUAGGCUUCACUGAAUCCACCCAGGAGGUCCUCCAACGUCAGGCCUCCUACUCCUUUAUGAACUGCCCCCGGCCAAACAACUCACCCUGGGCAGUCCGCGACAAGGUGGGGAGAGAAUGUCAAGAGGAGGGGGACAAAAGGAGGGGGCGUGGGGGGAGAGGAGCUAGGGAGGUGAGGCAAAGGGGGUGUUAUCAGCAGUAAUUUAUCUUCUAAUAACACAGUUUUAUUUGAAAUUAUAACCCGAGAGUUUGUCCAGGAAAUUGACCUUUCACCAUGCCACUACAAUGUGACCGAGAAACCAGUGCCCAAGGUACCCUGCAAGUAAACACUUGCAUAAUCUAUCAUUCAAAUGUUGACAGUGUCAAAUCUGAGUCACCGCAAGCAGACUGCCUAUGAUUCAUCUCCUUGAUAUUUGAAUCAUCCCUAGAUAUCUUUUUCCUGUGAUCUUUCAUUUCUUCAAAACAUGUACAAACAACAACCUGACCUCUUCAUUUCAGUGCCACACAACAGGUCUGGCCCACUGAGGUAUAAUAAGAACUAGAGACUGCCUCCAAGAUGGCCAACCUUUGUUUUCAACGUAAUCUACUCACGUUUGCAUGCGCCAUUUUGUGGUUGCUGCCGUUUUUCUUACUGGGAUUACUAUGUCUGCGCGCUAGUGCUCAGUGCGCACUAGGCAAAAGUAUUGCGUGAACAUGAUCCGGGAACUCUGGCAGAGCACCUGGACAGCUAAACAAGCCAACCAUCACUUCCCCUGGCCAGCUGGGGUCAUGACCUCAGAGCAUGAAUAUAAAAUGUUAAUAUCUUCGGCUGUCAGUGAUGGAAGAUUUUUUUCAUUUGAAUAAUUCAAUGGAUGUUUUGUGCACAAAGUUGAAAAAAUAAAGUAUUUUAU
rnacentral:lncRNA from 1 species